rnacentral:rRNA from 1 species
UACGUAGGUGGCAAGCGUUGUCCGGAUUUACUGGGCGUAAAGAGCGCGCAGGCGGUCGUCCAAGUCGCGUGUGAAAGCCCCCGGCUCAACUGGGGAGGGUCACGCGAUACUGGUCGACUCGAAGGCAGGAGAGGGUAGUGGAAUUCCCGGUGUAGUGGUGAAAUGCGUAGAUAUCGUGAGGAAGACCAGUGGCGAAGGCGGGUCUCUGGACAGUCCCUGACGCUGAGGCGCGAAGGCCGGGGAGCAAAAGCGGG